rnacentral:lncRNA from 1 species
ACUCACGCACGCACACCGCCGUACACAGCACAAUCGUUCACCGUCCCGCCAGAGGUUCGUCUCUCGGGUUCUGCCGAGUGGAAGGAGUCGGACAACGCCGCACGUCACGGGCGUUUCGGAUUUCUUGCUUCCCAAAGGUUUGACGGCGGCCACCGGCGCCCCGGCCCAGCUCUGCUUUCCUUUGCUGACUCCUUCCUUGAGCUGUCUACCACCACUGCUGCGCUUGUGGAUGACUGCAGGAACACGGGGUACUUGCCACAGGUAUCUCUCCAGAUUCAUCAGCCUUUCACCUGUGACAAGCUCAGUCAAGAAGUGGCUCCUAAGUAAAAGCUGGGGAAGAACAAGGAAGAUAGAGCUC